rnacentral:rRNA from 1 species
CCUACGGGAGGCAGCAGUGGGGAAUAUUGCGCAAUGGGCGAAAGCCUGACGCAGCGACGCCGCGUGAGGGAUGAAGGUCUUCGGAUCGUAAACCUCUGUCAGCAGGGAAGAACGGUCCCUGUGCUAAUCAGCAGUGAAUUGACGGUACCUGCAAAGGAAGCACCGGCUCACUCCAUGCCAGCAGCCGAGGUAAUACGGAGGGUGCGCGCGUUAAUCGGAAUUACUGGGCGUAAAGGGCUCGUAGGCGGUAUGUCAAGUCAAGGGUGAAAGCCCCGGGCUCAACGUGGGAACUGCAGUUGAUACUGGCAAACUGGAGUGUGUGAGAGGAUAGUGGAAUUCGAGGUGUAGGAGUGAAAUCCGUAGAUAUCUGGAGGAACAUCAGUGGCGAAGGCGACUAUCUGGCACAUAACUGACGCUGAGGAGCGAAAGCGUGGGUAGCAAACAGGAUUAGAUACCCUAGUAGUC